UUAAAGGAAAAUAGCUAGGCCCUUUGUGCUCUUGUGCCCUUCCACUAUGAGAGGACACAGUGUUCGUCUUCUCUGCAAAAGACAGCAUUUAAGGCACCAUCUUGGAAGUAAAGACUGGGCACUCACCAGACACUGAACCUGCUGGCAUUUGGAUUUUGAACUUCCCAGCCUCCAUAACUGUCUAACCAUAAAAUCAUCAAUACUGGCAAAUUAAAAGGGGAACAUGUCAGGCCUCACUCUUUCUGUACUGGCUUUCAAGAGUAUUGUCUUUGAGGGAAAGCCAUCUCCUUCUUGACACCGUGGCUACCCUUAGACCCCUCGUGAAGCCCAAGAUCAUCAAAAAUGGACCAAGAAGUUUAUCCUUCACCAGUCGGACUGACAUAUCAAAAUUAGAUGUACGCAUAUAGCAGCAACCCAGAGGCAUUGACAACAGGGUGUGGAGAAAAAUCAAAGGCAAGACCUUGACCGCCAAUAUUGGUUGUGGGAGCAAAAAGAAGCAAAACAUGCUCCCCAGUGGCUUCCAAAAAUUCCUGUUCCACAAUGUCAAAGAGCUGGAAGUGCUGCUGAUGUGCAACAAAUCUUACUGUGCUGAGAUUUCUCAACAUGCUUCUCCAAGAACAGUUAAAGCCACUGUGGAGAGAGUAGCCUGACAGCCCACCAGAGUCACUAGUCCCAAUGCCAGGCUGCACAGCAAGAAAAAUUAAUAGACAGCUCAUGUACACAUUUUAUUUGUGGUAAAUAAAACCAUAAAUACUCUGUCAUCUGGCAUCCUCCCCCUUAAAAACAUACAAAAAAUACAAAAACAAAAACCAAGAAAAUCUAAAUAAAAGAAUAAAAUAUUUGUGGGUGCUUUAUACAUGUUGCUCAUUUAGUUCUCACACCAGUCCUAUGAGAUGGUGUGGCGAAAACCAUCAGUGUUCUCCCAAAUCCAUGUGUUUCAUGGCAUUUCCAGCCUCCUUUGCAGUCAGAUUGGCCAUAUAAAAGACUUCUGACAGAUGAAAUAUAGACAUGAGUUAUGCACCCCCUUCCAGCCUGGCCUUACAAUAGCCUACAGUGCUUUUUGCUCUCUCUCUCCUUCUCUUCUUCAUCACCCUGAAAGCAAAUA